GAUUCCAUCCUGAAUACAUCCAAUCUCAUUUUGGAAGUUAUGUAGGGUCAGGUCUGGUUGAUACUUGAAUGGGAGACCACCAGGAAAUACCAGGAUUCU
rnacentral:rRNA from 1 species